GUGAAAUGCGUAGAUAUCCGGAGGAACACCAAAGGCGAAGGCACUGUCCUGGCUCUUUCCUGACGCUCGGGGGCGAAAGCUAGGGGAGCGAACGGGAUUAGAUACCCCGGUAGUCCUAGCCGUAAACGAUGACCACUAGACGUUCGGGGUAUCGACCCCCUGAGUGUCGCAGUUAACACGCGAAGUGGUCCGCCUGGGGAGUACGGUCGCAAGAUUAAAACUCAAAGGAAUUGACGGGGACCCGCACAAGCAGCGGAGCGUGUGGUUUAAUUCGAUGCAACGCGAAGAACCUUACCAGGAUUUGACGUGGCCGUGACCAUCUGAGAGAUCAGACUUCCUUCGGGACACGGUCACAGGUGCUGCAUGGCUGUCGUCAGCUCGUGCCGUGAGGUGUUGGGUUAAGUCCCGCAACGAGCGCAACCCUCAUUGCUAGUUACAUCUGUCUAGCAAGACUGCCGCGUCUAACGUGGAGGAAGGUGGGGAUGACGUCAAGUCAGCACGGCCCUUACAUCCUGGGCGACACACACGCUACAAUGGUGAGGACAACGAGUUGCCAACCCGCGAGGGGGAGCUAAUCUUGUCAAACCUCAUCUCAGUUCAGAUUGGAGGCUGCAACUCGCCUCCAUGAAGGUGGAGUUGCUAGUAACCGUGAGUCAGCACAUCACGGUGAAUACGUUCCCGGGUCUUGUACACACCGCCCGUCACACCACGAAAGUCGGCAACCCCUGAAGCCGCUGGCUAACUCACACGAGAGGCAAGCGUCGAGGGUGGGGUCGGUGAUUGGGGUGAAGUCGUAACAAGGUAACCGU
rnacentral:rRNA from 1 species